AGGGGAGGAGUCCAGCGGAGGUGGCUAUCGAAGCCCUAUCUAGAUGCGGGAGGGGAGAUUUUAUGGGGCUCUCAGACUGCUUUCUGUUUUUGGAUGGGUUGAAAGAAUUUGUUAACUUUUAGCCACUAGAAUGAACUUAGUUUUAGGCCGCAUUUAUAUUCUUUUUAGGGUUAGAGGCAGAUUUUACUUGGCUAUUUUUUUCAAGAAAAGAUAGUUAAUACCCAGCUUCAGUCUUCCUAAAUUAGCCGCAAUUUAUUUUGCUUGAACUCUAACAAAGGCUUGUGUGUUGCUUUCACCUACGCAUUCAGCCCUAUGAAAGGCUCGUUGAAGGUUAGGUUGAGAAGGCUGACUAUAGGACUUGGAUCCUAAAAAUUGUAUUUGUAUUUUUCUUUCCCUAGAGUUUGCUCUCCAAAGCUCGAGGAAUUGAUUCCAGCUCUGUUAAACUCCGGGGUAGUUCUCUCUUCAUGGAUACAGAAAAAUCAGGAAAAAGGGAAUUUGAUGUGCGACAGACUCCUCAAGUGAAUAUUAAUCCUUUUACUCCGGAUUCUUUGUUGCUUCAUUCCUCAGGACAGUGUCGUCGUAGAAAGAGAACGUAUUGGAAUGAUUCCUGUGGUGAAGACAUGGAAGCCAGUGAUUAUGAGCUUGAAGAUGAAACGAGACCUGCUAAGAGAAUUACAAUUACUGAAAGCAAUAUGAAGUCCCGGUAUACAACAGAAUUUCAUGAGCUAGAGAAAAUUGGCUCUGGAGAAUUUGGUUCUGUAUUUAAGUGCGUGAAGAGGCUGGAUGGAUGCAUUUAUGCCAUUAAGCGAUCAAAAAAGCCAUUGGCCGGCUCUGUUGAUGAGCAGAACGCUUUGAGAGAAGUAUAUGCUCAUGCAGUGCUUGGACAGCAUUCUCAUGUAGUUCGAUAUUUCUCUGCGUGGGCAGAAGAUGAUCAUAUGCUUAUACAGAAUGAAUAUUGUAAUGGUGAGUGAUGUAAUGGUUUUCUUGUGAGCUUGAGAAAAUGAACAUCGAGGAAAUAUUUAUGGUUAUCUAAAAUCUUGCUCUAUUUCUGUCACUUUUAUCUUUUAUAAAUUUAAAGAUCAGAGGCCUAACAUAAAUUUCAAGUACAAGGUUAAAAACCUUGUCCUUUCUGAAGCACCUUGUACAUAUCUCAGUAGUAGAACUUUGCAUACUAUUUAUGUGCUUGUCACUCCAACUGAACUUUUUGACAAGACAAUGGCCUCGACACAUAUAUUUUGGUGUCCGUAGUACCUAGCAUAGUGUGUGAAGCAUAUAGUAUUAUGAAAUGUUAAGUUGAAUAGAUUCUUCCUGUGUCUAGUCUUCUAUUUCCAUUUCACGUGGUGUGCUGCUAAAACCGAUGUUUGUUAGUCAGUGAGUCUCUGUUGAUCUAAAUUCAGCUGUUUCUUUAAGCAUUCUGUAGUCCGGCCCUACUCCCACGUAUCCAACCUAGUCUACCCUAGAACCCACUAACGCUUUAUUAUGUUAACGUUCUUUUAGUUCUCUAGCUUGUCGUCUCUCCCUCCUCUCCCCUAAGGAUGAAACAAAACAGGCAUGUAUAGAUUCAAGUUUGGAUGUCUUGUAUAGCUUUGAGUUUCGGUAAGUCCUUCAAGGGCCGACUUAUGUCUCUCCUUUUCUAUUAAAAACCUUUACCAAAGUCUUGGUCAGAAUUCUGGUUCUUAUGGACGUCUGUCAUUAUUAUACACCAAAUCUUUUAUGGAUUAUUUCUCAACACUUUUGUAGUUUAUAAGCGUGAUGAUUGGGUUUUCAUACUCAAGUGUGAAAUGUGCCUCCCUCAAACCUUGUUACGACAUCAGCACAUUACCAGUCUGAAAUGAAAAAUAUCUGUAGUUUGUUUCUAUUUCUGUAUAUCUUCUGUGAAUAUAGACAAUUUAGAGUUUAGUGAACACUUGAGAGGAGAUAACAAAAUUUAUUUUUGUUGAUUCUUAUUAUUCCUUAAAUAAACAAGACCAGUUAUCUCAUAACUUGUAAAUAAAUAAGUGGUGUAGGUAUGGAUUCAGGUUCCCCAUAUUUAAAAACAGUGAACAAAACAGAAGUAAAAGAUCCAUUUUUCAAACCUGAUUCCUCAUUAUUUAAUAAAGUUCUCCACACUUGAAAGAACUUGAGUGUCUAGUAUACAGCCUUGCUGCUAGUUUUUUUCACACAGCUCUUGAAAUGUUUCUAUUCAUACCAUCAAAAUAUUUAUGUAACUAUCACAACCUUAUGGAUUAUUCUAUUUCUUAACCUUCAUUUUUCAGGUAUUGCAUUUAACCUAGAACAACUUGACCACAAUGUCAUCUCCAUUUGAUAUUUGCUAGACACCAUCUCUUUUCAGUUUCCUUCUUUCUCUUUCUCACCUUGUUGAUGUGAAUAGUUCUCUUAACAGAAUAGUUCAUUAGUAGUCUAGGAAUGUCAAAUAUGUAGCAACCUACCAAUACAUGGUUGUGUAAAUCAGAUGAUUCUGAGAAAACUCACGUGGGCCUGGGAGAUAGGGAACUGAGUGAGUAGUCUUGCUGCCCUCUCAGAUUACAAAAACCUUGUCCUGUAAUGUUAGAUUAUAAAAUAAUCUAUUGAAAAUAAGUUUUUAUUUAUUUAUUUAUUUAUUUAUUUUUGAGACUCGCCCAGGCUGGAGUGCAAUGGCGCAAUCUCUGCUCACUGCAACCUUUGCCUCCAGGGUUCAAGCGAUUCUCCUGCCUCAGCCUUUUGAGUAGCUGGGAUUACAGAUGCGCGCCACCACUCCCAGCUAAUUUUUGUAUUUUUAGUAGAGACGGGGUUUCACCAUGUUGGCCAGGCUGGUCUUGAACCCUGACCUCGUGAUCCACCUGCCUCGGCCUCUUAAAGCAAUAUAAAACUCUUGAAGAAAAUAAAUAGUCCUGCAUGAAGCAGGACUGCCUCUUUGUGUGGCUAUUUGUCCUACUUAGAUAAAAGAAAAUACAACUAUCUGGAUGCAUUUGUGAUCUCUUUUGUUUCCUGUGUCCACCAUUCCUCUCUGCACAUAAAGCUUUGAAUAUACCAAUAGGGCUCAUCUUCACAUCUUUUCCACAGUUUCACUGGAAAAGGAUUCUGUUAUUUAUUUGUACAUGAGUAACUGAUUCCCUUUAUUGUGAUUUAAUUUCCUUAUUAUCUUAUUCAUUUGCAUUAUAAGCCUUUUAUCUUGGUUUGGUGAUAGAUUGGAAUUAACCUGUAUAAACAAGUGUAGAAAAAUAUUGAUGGAUAGGGAAAGAGAACCUGAAAUGUCAGAACCUGUUUUGCUCUCAUCACCUUUCUUGCCCUUCUAGCAAUAAGAGAAGAAAUUGGCACAGCUAUGGUUGCUGGACCUGCUAAAAAAGAGAAUUAGCCAUAUUCUUUCAUAGCACAUUUGAUCUAGGACUUAGCCUAUCUUGUCUGACAGCGUUAUUGGUUUGCUCCCUUCUAGAGCACUCUUUCCCCUCCCUCAGUUCAAGAUUUGUACAAGUAAGGAGAACAUACUUAAGACUAAGAUACCGAGAUGUAUAAUUUAUUUUAAAAACACAUUUGACGUUAUGUUAUUUUCUUAUUUAAAUUAUAGGACCUCCUUUUCUGACUAAUACAUCAUUGACCUUCCUAAUUUUAGUACCCAGCUCUGAUUUUUUUAUUCCUAAGCCUUAAACAGAAGAUAUUUAAAACAAUUCCUCAUUGCCUUUGAGAUGAAAUACAAACUUUAAAAGUUUGAAAAAAUAUGAACAAAUUAACUGAUUGAUUUAACUAAUUCUAUAAAAGCAGGUUAUGGUCUCAUUCAUAGUAAGAGUAGUAUAAAUUAAAACUAUACUAAAAUACUGUCUUUUUACCUAUAACAUUUAUAGACUUGUCAAGGGUAUGGGGAAACAGGUAUUCUCAUGCAUUGACAAUGGGCAUAUAUAUUGGUACAGCCUUCUCUAUGGAGAAGUGUGUGUGUGUGUGUGUGUGUGUGUGUAAAACACACCAUCUCCAUAUAUUACAAAUGUGCAUACCCUUUAACCCAGCAAUUUGGCUUCUAGGUGAUAUACUAAAUGUAUGUGAAAUUACCAAUGUACAAGGUUAUUUAUUAGGCCAUAGUAUGUAAUAGCAAAGGCUUGGAAAUAAUUUUAAAAUGUCCAUCAAAUGAGGGACUGAUAAAUGCAUUUCUUUUUUUUUUUUUUUUUUUUUGGGACUGAGUCUCACUCUGUCACCAGGCUGGAGUGCAAUGGCCCGAUAUCGGCUCACUGCAACCUCCGCCUCCCAGGUUCAAGCAAUUCUCCUGCCUUCUGAGUAGCUGGGAUUACAGGUGCAUGCCACCACACCCAGCUAAUUUUUGUAUUUUUAGUAGAAACGGGGUUUCGCCAUGUUGGCCUGCAUGGUCUCGAACUCCUGACCUCGUGAUCUACCUGCCUUGGCCUCCCACAGUGCUGGGAUUACAGGUGUGAGCCACUGUGCCCAGCCAAUAAAUGCGUUUCUAUUCAAUUAUACAAUAGAAUUCUAUAAAGACAAGAAGAAAUGGGUUGUCUUUGUAUAUUGGUAUAGAGUGAUCUUUAAGAUAAUGAACAUAUGCUGUUAUUUAUGCAAAAAGUUGAAAAGAAUACAUAGACCUGAGCUGGGUGUGGUGGCAGUGCCUGUAGUCCCAGCUGCUUGGGAGUCUGAAGCAGGGAAUUUGAAUUUGGGUUUGGGAAUUCUAGGCUGUAGUGCACUAUGCCGAUCUAAGUUGAGCAUCAGUAUGGUGACCUCUGUGGAGUGGGGCACUACCAGGUUGCCUAAAGAGGGGUAAACUGGCCUAGGUUGGAAACAGCACAAGUCAAAACUCCUAUGCUGAUAAGUAGUGGGAUCAAGCCUGUGAAUAGCCACUGGAUUCCAGCUGGGCAACAUAGAUAGACCCUGUCUCUUAUAAAUUAAAAACAAAAACAAACAAAAAAAAACCCAACCUGAUAAUACUGGUUUACCCUGAGAAAGAAACAGGUGGGUUGCUGAGGUGUAUGAUUGAGAGAGAGACUUUACAUUUUAUUUUGUACCCAUGCAAAUGUAUUACCUAUUGAAAAAACAAUAAAAUUUUGAUUUCACAAGCAGGUUGAAGGGAGAAGGUCCUAUAAAAUAACACUUUCUUGGUUGAGAUUGGUUGGUUGAGACUCAUUUGGUAAAGAUGGAAGAAAGAAAA
rnacentral:sRNA from 1 species